rnacentral:misc_RNA from 1 species
GAAUUCCCAGUCGUCCGGUAGGGGGCCCCUGCUAUUUAGGCAAGCUUACCAUGUUAGCACCUAAGCAUACAGAUAUUCUCAAGGUGCUUGUCAAUUCAUCGCGGACAGGUAUAAGACGUAAACGAAGCACCUCACACCUGGAUGAUACAUGCUCAGAUGAAGUGCAGCUUUGGGGUCCUACAGCAAGAAUCUUUGCAUCUAUCCUAGCCCCGGGGGUAGCAGCUGCGCAAGCCUUAAGAGAAAUUGAGAGACUAGCCUGUUGGUCCGUUAAACAGGCUAACUUGACAACAUCACUCCUCGGGGACUUAUUGGAUGAUGUCACGAGUAUUCGACACGCGGUCCUGCAGAACCGAGCGGCUAUUGACUUCUUGCUCCUAGCUCACGGCCAUGGCUGUGAGGACGUUGCCGGAAUGUGCUGUUUCAAUUUGAGUGAUCAGAGUGAGUCUAUACAGAAGAAGUUCCAGCUAAUGAAGGAACAUGUCAAUAAGAUCGGCGUGGAUAGCGACCUAAUUGGAAGUUGGCUGCGAGGACUAUUCGGGGGAAUAGGAGAAUGGGCCGUUCAUUUGCUGAAAGGACUGCUUUUGGGGCUUGUAGUUAUUUUGUUGCUAGUAGUGUGCCUGCCUUGCCUUUUGCAAAUGUUAUGCGGUAAUAGGAGAAAGAUGAUUAAUAACUCCAUCAGCUACCACACGGAAUAUAAGAAGCUGCAAAAGGCCUGUGGGCAGCCUGAAAGCAGAAUAGUAUAAGGCAGUACAUGGGUGGUGGUAUAGCGCUUGCGAGUCGGGUUGUAACGGGACAUGGCUUAACUAAGGGGACUAUGGCAUGUAUAGGCGCAAAGCGGGGUUUCGGUUGUACGCGAUUAGGAGUCCCCUUAGGAUAUAGUAGACACGCUUUUGCAUAUGAUACAUAACUUCCCUGUUUUGCCCUUAGACUAUUCAAGUUGCCUCUGUGGAUUAGGGCUGGAGGCAGCUCGGAUGGUCUGACGGCCAGAUAAGGCAGGAAAGACAGCUAUUGGUAAUUGUGAAAUACGCUUUUGUCUGUGUGCUGCAGGAGCUGAGCUGACUCUGCUGGUGGCCUCGCGUACCACUGUGGCCAGGCGGUAGCUGGGACGUGCAGCCGACCACCAUGGGGAGUAGCAAGAGCAAGCCUAAGGACCCCAGCCAGCGCCGGCGCAGCCUGGAGCCACCCGACAGCACCCACCACGGGGGAUUCCCAGCCUCGCAGACCCCCAACAAGACAGCAGCCCCCGACACGCACCGCACCCCCAGCCGCUCCUUCGGGACCGUGGCCACCGAGCCCAAGCUCUUCGGGGGCUUCAACACUUCUGACACCGUUACGUCGCCGCAGCGUGCCGGGGCACUGGCUGGCGGCGUCACCACUUUCGUGGCUCUCUACGACUACGAGUCCUGGAUUGAAACGGACUUGUCCUUCAAGAAAGGAGAACGGCUGCAGAUUGUCAACAACACGGAAGGUAACUGGUGGCUGGCUCAUUCCCUCACUACAGGACAGACGGGCUACAUCCCCAGUAACUAUGUCGCGCCCUCAGACUCCAUCCAGGCUGAAGAGUGGUACUUUGGGAAGAUCACUCGUCGGGAGUCCGAGCGGCUGCUGCUCAACCCCGAAAACCCCCGGGGAACCUUCUUGGUCCGGGAGAGCGAGACGACAAAAGGUGCCUAUUGCCUCUCCGUUUCUGACUUUGACAACGCCAAGGGGCUCAAUGUGAAGCACUACAAGAUCCGCAAGCUGGACAGCGGCGGCUUCUACAUCACCUCACGCACACAGUUCAGCAGCCUGCAGCAGCUGGUGGCCUACUACUCCAAACAUGCUGAUGGCUUGUGCCACCGCCUGACCAACGUCUGCCCCACGUCCAAGCCCCAGACCCAGGGACUCGCCAAGGACGCGUGGGAAAUCCCCCGGGAGUCGCUGCGGCUGGAGGUGAAGCUGGGGCAGGGCUGCUUUGGAGAGGUCUGGAUGGGGACCUGGAACGGCACCACCAGAGUGGCCAUAAAGACUCUGAAGCCCGGCACCAUGUCCCCGGAGGCCUUCCUGCAGGAAGCCCAAGUGAUGAAGAAGCUCCGGCAUGAGAAGCUGGUUCAACUGUACGCAGUGGUGUCGGAAGAGCCCAUCUACAUCGUCAUUGAGUACAUGAGCAAGGGGAGCCUCCUGGAUUUCCUGAAGGGAGAGAUGGGCAAGUACCUGCGGCUGCCACAGCUCGUUGAUAUGGCUGCUCAGAUUGCAUCCGGCAUGGCCUAUGUGGAGAGGAUGAACUACGUGCACCGAGACCUGCGGGCGGCCAACAUCCUGGUGGGGGAGAACCUGGUGUGCAAGGUGGCUGACUUUGGGCUGGCACGCCUCAUCGAGGACAACGAGUACACAGCACGGCAAGGUGCCAAGUUCCCCAUCAAGUGGACAGCCCCCGAGGCAGCCCUCUAUGGCCGGUUCACCAUCAAGUCGGAUGUCUGGUCCUUCGGCAUCCUGCUGACUGAGCUGACCACCAAGGGCCGGGUGCCAUACCCAGGGAUGGGCAACGGGGAGGUGCUGGACCGGGUGGAGAGGGGCUACCGCAUGCCCUGCCCGCCCGAGUGCCCCGAGUCGCUGCAUGACCUUAUGUGCCAGUGCUGGCGGAGGGACCCUGAGGAGCGGCCCACUUUCGAGUACCUGCAGGCCCAGCUGCUCCCUGCUUGUGUGUUGGAGGUCGCUGAGUAGUGCGCGAGUAAAAUUUAAGCUACAACAAGGCAAGGCUUGACCGACAAUUGCAUGAAGAAUCUGCUUAGGGUUAGGCGUUUUGCGCUGCUUCGCGAUGUACGGGCCAGAUAUACGCGUAUCUGAGGGGACUAGGGUGUGUUUAGGCGAAAAGCGGGGCUUCGGUUGUACGCGGUUAGGAGUCCCCUUAGGAUAUAGUAGUUUCGCUUUUGCAUAGGGAGGGGGAAAUGUAGUCUUAUGCAAUACUCUUGUAGUCUUGCAACAUGGUAACGAUGAGUUAGCAACAUGCCUUACAAGGAGAGAAAAAGCACCGUGCAUGCCGAUUGGUGGAAGUAAGGUGGUACGAUCGUGCCUUAUUAGGAAGGCAACAGACGGGUCUGACAUGGAUUGGACGAACCACUGAAUUCCGCAUUGCAGAGAUAUUGUAUUUAAGUGCCUAGCUCGAUACAAUAAACGCCAUUUGACCAUUCACCACA